CCUACGGGUGGCAGCAGUGAGGAAUAUUGGUCAAUGGGCGCGAGCCUGAACCAGCCAAGCCGCGUGAGGGAAGACGGCCCUAUGGGUUGUAAACCUCUUUUGUCGGAGAACAAAACCCGGGACGUGUCCCUGUCUGCGUGUAUUCGAUGAAAAAGCAUCGGCUAACUCCGUGCCAGCAGCCGCGGUAAUACGGAGGAUGCGAGCGUUAUCCGGAUUUAUUGGGUUUAAAGGGUGCGUGGUCGGUCCGUUAAGUCAGCGGUAAAAUUGCGGGGCUCAACCCCGUCGAGCCGUUGAAACUGGCAGACUUGAGUUGGCGAGAAGUACGCGGAAUGCGCGGUGUAGCGGUGAAAUGCAUAGAUAUCGCGCAGAACUCCGAUUGCGAAGGCAGCGUACCGGCGCCAGACUGACGCUGAGGCACGAAAGCGUGGGGAUCGAACAGGAUUAGAUACCCCUGUAGUC
rnacentral:rRNA from 1 species